UCGACGAUCAGGAGGAACUGGCGGGAGCUGCACCGCGCGACCAGAAAUGGCAUGAAAAGCCGCAAGAUGGCCACCAUGCAUGCACAGUCCGGCAGACAAUGGCUAAAAGAUCUCCAAUCUGCAGUGCCGGGACAAGCCCGACACCCACAGUGGAGAAUCCAUGGUGACAUACACUUUUAAGAACCAUCAUUACUUCACAAGCUGUGAAUGUUCAGCAUUUAUGCAAAUCAUACCCCAGAUCUCAAGUCAAGCACUCAGAAAAUGAAGCACACACAAUCAGGAAUCAAAAGUGGCAAGUUUGGGUUAAGUGACAUGACUUGAAAUACAUAGGAACUCUGUGGGCACAGCCGGGAUAAAAUCCAAUUCUGCUGGUCUGUGUUCAGCUGCCUUAAUCAUAAGGCUGUAAUCCUCCCUCAUUUGCUUCACGCCUUCUAACCUGAUAUACAAGCAAGCCACACACACCCUGCCGACUAAUCAGAGGGAAUGCUGCAACCUCAGACACAGGCACAUUGCCUUGCUCCCCAGUAUGGACUACAAGGUCAUAGUGAAAGCCAUCUCACUCUGGCUGGUGUCCCUGAUGGCAGAUGUGAUGCACCCUUGCAAGAGCUACCACCAUCCCAAAAUGGAGCAGGAGAAGAUGUCUGACAAGAUGGAUCACAGGACAGAGUGCUGUUAUUCUAUCAGCUGGUUCUCUCAAAAAAUCGGGUACCCGUUCAACAUCUAGAACCUGUUAGGACUAAAGCCAUUCAAAAUGGAGGCAGUGAACUUUUGACUAAGGACUUCAUUUUGAUUAAAAUGCCUGUGAGCAGCAGAAGACUCUGAGCUGUGCUGGCUCUCAUCAGCCAGAACUAGUUUUUCCUGUCCAAUCGGAACAUGCCAUUGCCUCAGAGUUUCAUGCCACAGAAAAGAUGUAAGGAUCUGCACAGCUGCUGGAGGGUGUGGUCUUUUCCAUCUGUGUUCCUGUCAGCACCGGACCACCAUAACGGCUGUGACUAGAGAGGGAGAAGAUAUACCAUCAGUGAUCCACCACCAUCCUAGAAGAUCUCCACUGCGAUCUCCCUGGAGUUCCUCCCUGAGAGCUUCAAACUAGCUCAAAGGUAGAAGGUCCCAAGCCUUGGCUGCACAGCACCAUUGGUGCCUCCCAAUGUAAAUGGGUUUUUUUUCUUUGGGUUCUUUGCUAUCAUCUCUUCCUUUAUUUCUAGCCAAAGGGGGUAUUUGGGCCUAGGCUUCAUGCCUCUUUGAUGUAAUCCCUGCACUGUUAUAUAGUUAUUGUUGAUUAAGAAUGCUUACUAUUGUUUGUGGUGGUGUUUUUUGAGUCUCGUUUAAAUUUUCCA